rnacentral:rRNA from 1 species
GGGGGGGCAAGCGUUUGUUCGGAAUUACUGGGCGUAAAGGGCGCGUAGGCGGGCAGGAAAGUCUCUCGUGAAAUCCCACGGCUCAACCGUGGAAUUGCGGGAGAUACUACUUGUCUUGAGUUCGGGAGAGGAGUGUGGAAUUCCCAGUGUAGCGGUGAAAUGCGUAGAUAUUGGGAGGAACACCGGUGGCGAAGGCGGCACUCUGGACCGAUACUGACGCUGAGGCGCGAAAGCUAGGGGAGCAAACGGGAUUAGAUACCCCGGGUAGUCCUAGCUGUAAACGCUGAGCACUUGGUGUAGCGGGUAUCGACCCCCCUGCUGUGCCGAAGCUAACGCAUUAAGUGCUCCGCCUGGGGGAGUACGGUCGCAAGGCUG